GGACCUCGGCGGGGAGAUGGAGGUCCUGGCGGCAGAGACCACGUCCCAGCAAGAGCGGCUGCAGGCCAUCGCGGAGAAGCGGAAGCGGCAGGCGGAGAUCGAGAACAAGCGCCGGCAGCUGGAGGACGAGCGGAGGCAGCUGCAGCACCUGAAGUCCAAGGCACUGCGGGAGCGUUGGCUGCUGGAGGGGACGCCGUCCUCGGCCUCAGAGGGGGAUGAGGACCUGAGGAGGCAGAUGCAGGACGACGAGCAGAAGACACGGCUGCUGGAGGACUCGGUGUCCAGGUUGGAGAAGGAAAUUGAGGUGCUGGAGCGUGGAGACUCCGCCCCAGCCGCUGCCAAGGAGAACGCGGCGGCCCCGAGCCCCGUCCGGGCCCCAGCCCCGAGUCCAGCCAAGGAGGAGCGCAAGACAGAGGUGGUGAUGAAUUCACAGCAGACGCCGGUGGGCACGCCCAAAGACAAGCGAGUCUCCAACACGCCCCUGAGGACGGUUGAUGGCUCCCCCAUGAUGAAGGCAGGUGGGUUGGCCCCCAGGCUCCCCAUGAUGAAGGCAGGUGGGUUGGCCCCCAGGCUCUGGGCCCCAGAUCCAGCCGCUGUCAGGGACCAAGUCUCGGU
rnacentral:sRNA from 1 species